GAUGAACGCUGGCGGCGUGCCUAAUACAUGCAAGUCGAGCGAACGGACGAGAAGCUUGCUUCUCUGAUGUUAGCGGCGGACGGGUGAGUAACACGUGGAUAACCUACCUAUAAGACUGGGAUAACUUCGGGAAACCGGAGCUAAUACCGGAUAAUAUUUUGAACCGCAUGGUUCAAAAGUGAAAGACGGUCUUGCUGUCACUUAUAGAUGGAUCCGCGCUGCAUUAGCUAGUUGGUAAGGUAACGGCUUACCAAGGCAACGAUGCAUAGACGACCUGAGAGGGUGAUAGGCCACACUGGAACUGAGACAGGGUCCAGACUCCUACGGGAGGCAGCAGUAGGGAAUCUUCCGCAAUGGGCGGAAGCCUGACGGAGCAACGCCGCGUGAGUGAUGAAGGUCUUCGGAUCGUAAAACUCUGUUAUUAGGGAAGAACAUAUGUGUAAGUAACUGUGCACAUCUUGACGGUACCUAAUCAGAAAGCCACGGCUAACUACGUG
rnacentral:rRNA from 1 species